rnacentral:lncRNA from 1 species
AUGAGCGCGGCGCCAGGCGCGGCUGCAGCACAAGGGCCAGCGAUGGCGCCGAACGCUGCCGCGGAGCAAGAGACAAGCACGGCGCCGGGCGUGGCUGUUGCCCCAGAGACGGCAGCAGCAGCUCCAGUACUGGUUCGGUCGGGACUGGCCGAGGUGGCAUCCCGUAAAGAAGCUGCUGUCCAAACUGCAGCGCAGCCAGCUGUCAUCUGUGCUGUCUGUUCUGGCUCUAGCGAACUUAGCCAAAGUGCCCCUCUCCGUCCAUCUCUGUUCGCUCCCAGCAUCUCUGAGUUGCCUUUGCCUGAUGACUCGUCAUCGGGAAGUGAGGCAGAUGAGGUUCUGGCCCCAGGUCGUCAGGCGGCUGUAGCCGCGCAGCGAAGGAAAAGGCUGCGCUGGUCUCGCCCCUGGACCUUUCAGUACUGCACAGUAACAGUACGUCCAACCAACUACAGUCACUUCUUAGAGUCAGUUAGGACGCGAGCAUUGGAGGAGGGUGACUGGAGGUUAUUGGAAACACUUGGAAUGCCAAAUAGAUUUGAGGAUUCUGGGGGUAACCGGGAAGCUGUUACACUUCAUCCACAGGCUGUGCCAGAAGUUCAGGAUGGUAGUGACUCCCCAAAAGGGGAGAUCCAAGCUUUCCCAGUGUAUAAGGCUCUCCCAAAUUCUGGCGAGCGUGAUAAGCAUGAGGUAAUUGCUUGGAAAGUUGCCCAGGACCUCCAAUCCAAGGUGGCACAACAUGGGCUAAGUUCUGCUGAGGUUAUGCGGAUAAUAAGGGUGAUAAAUACAGAUUUGCUUUCUCCAUUUGCUAUCAGACACUUAGGUCAAAUUCUAUUUCAACCUGUACAAUUUACAGUUUUUGAGAAAACCUGGAGAAAGCUGGCCGGCAAGGCUGCAUUAGGGAAUAUGCAGCUCCCUGCUGCCGAUCCUAGACGGACAGCAGGAAUGGAUGCUUUGAUGGGGACUGCUCCCUUCUCUGAUCCCAGUCUACAGGGCACCUUGUCCUCUAGUGUCCUGCAGCAAGUUCAAAAGGUCAGCAUGGCUGCCCUGUUGAAAACCAUAGAGUUGUCUGCGCCUAGAAAGCGAUAUACUGAAAUAGUUCAAGGGAAAUCAGUCAUUCCUCUCUUUUGUAGAGAAAGUCGCUGCUUCUCUCGAGAAGCAGGUUGA